UACAGAGGGUGCGAGCGUUAAUCGGAAUUACUGGGCGUAAAGCGCGCGUAGGCGGCUUUUCAAGUCGAUUGUGAAAUCCCCGGGCUUAACCUGGGAACUGCAGUCGAGACUGACUAGCUAGAGUAUGGGAGAGGGAAGUGGAAUUUCAGGUGUAGCGGUGAAAUGCGUAGAUAUCUGAAGGAACAUCAGUGGCGAAAGCGACUUCCUGGACCAAUACUGACGCUCAUGUGCGAAAGCGUGGGGAGCAAACAGG
rnacentral:rRNA from 1 species